rnacentral:rRNA from 1 species
AUUGAACGCUGGCGGCGUGCUUAACACAUGCAAGUCGAGCGGCAGCGCGGGAGCAAUCCUGGCGGCGAGCGGCGAACGGGUGAGUAAUGCUUCGGAAUCUGCCCUUCAGUGGGGAAUAACCAGUCGAAAGACUGGCUAAUACCGCAUACGAACUGAGGUUGAAAGCAGGGGAUCGCAAGACCUUGCGCUGAUGGAUGAGCCGAAGUCGGAUUAGCUUGUUGGUGGGGUAAUGGCUCACCAAGGCGACGAUCUGUAGCGGGUCUGAGAGGAUGAUCCGCCACACUGGAACUGAGACACGGUCCAGACUCCUACGGGAGGCAGCAGUGGAGAAUUUUGGACAAUGGGCGCAAGCCUGAUCCAGCCAUGCCGCGUGAGUGAAGAAGGCCU